CAAGUGAUGCUGCUGGGUAGAGACUGAUAUAGUGACAGUAGGAUCAUUUGAGAGAAAACGGGAUCUGUGGUGAAAUAAGAAAAACAUUUAAACAUGAAAUUCUAUCUGAUGAUUCUCCUUUACUUGCCAGGUGAGUUUUAACACAAACCAUUUUUGUUGCUGUUGAUUUGUUGUUGUUGAUUACAAUUGCAGACCAUUUUUGUUGUUGAUGAUUUUCUUUGUGAAAGAGACUCCUGCAUAGUGCAAAUUCUAUAGAAUAUACUUCUGCCAAACAAUUCCACAAAGUUUUUGUUCAUUUCACAUUUCAACUAUUAUUUGUUAUUAUGAUAAAGAAUAACAUUGUCUUCUCUUUUAUCAAGUUUUAAGCUGUUAUGCAAAAAGGAGCAAAAUUGGAGGGCAUGGAAAGGAAGGUGGAUCUUUAGACAUUAAGUGUUCAUAUCCAGAUGGAUAUCAAUAUAAGCCCAAAUAUUUGUGUCGCCACCCCUGUUCCUACAGUGACAUUCUCAUCAGAAGUGUGAAAGCGGACACAUUUGUCACAGUAGGAAGAUUUUCUGUGUAUGACAAUGUCCAUGGACAUACUUUCAUUGCCACCAUCAAAAACCUGAAAUUACAGGACUCUGGACUUUACUAUUGUGGACUUGAUCAGUGGGGAAGAGAUGUUUUAACAAAAGUAGAUGUCUCUGUGAGUAAAGCUCCAUUGGUCACUUCACUGUUUACACCUGAUAGGAAGGACACCACACAAACAAACAGAUAUGUGUCCCCAGAGGUCCCCACAUUUACACAGUUACCUGUUGCAGAUUGGGAUGUCGCACCAACAUCCUCAUCGAUUGUGAUUGACAGCACAGGUUUUGUACGUGUGCAUGUUGUUGUGGGAGCUGUCGGACUGUUGAUGUGUUGCACUGUGAUUGCACUUUGUGUAUUCUUCAGAAAACGAUCAAUGCUGUGCUCACUGACAUUUCCAGCAUCCACAGUAUCAGAUCCUGUAGCCAUUGCACAGGGUGAAGAGGACACUUGUCAUGUGUAUGAUGAGAUAAUUAUGAAAAGCUCCAACAUUCUUCCCCAGGAAGACAGUGACUUGUACUGCACCGCACAUUUAGGAGAACCCCCACUGAAAAUAGAUGACAAUGCUCUCUACUCUCUCCUGACACUAAAGCUACAAGGACCUCAGUGAGAGUCACAAGUCUUUAGUUUAUACAGGGCAUUCUCACAACACUGCAAGCUGUUGAUAGUGUACAUAUGUACAGUAUCUAGAAGCUUUGGGUUGGCAAUAAAUAUUGCUAUUGUUUUGUGUGUAUAUAUAUACAUACACUGCUCAAAAAAAUAA